UACGUAGGGUGCAAGCGUUAAUCGGAAUUACUGGGCGUAAAGCGUGCGCAGGCGGUGAUGUAAGUCAGAUGUGAAAUCCCCGGGCUUAACCUGGGAACUGCAUUUGUGACUGCAUUGCUGGAGUGCGGCAGAGGGGGAUGGAAUUCCGCGUGUAGCAGUGAAAUGCGUAGAUACGCGGAGGAACACCGAUGGCGAAGGCAAUCCCCUGGGCCUGCACUGACGCUCAUGCACGAAAGCGUGGGGAGCAAACAGG
rnacentral:rRNA from 1 species